GGAGCCGUAGCGAAAGCGAGUUUUAACUGAGCGUUCAGUUACUUGACGUAGACCCGAAACCGGGCGACCUACCCAUGAGCAGGAUGAAGCGAAAGUAAAAUUUCGUGGAGGUCCGAACCCACGAGCGUUGAAAAGCUCGGGGAUGACUUGUGGGUAGCGGUGAAAUUCCAAUCGAGCCCGGAGAUAGCUGGUUCUCCCCGAAAUAGCUUUAGGGCUAGCCUCAAGGUGAGAGAUACGGAGGUAGAGCACUGAAUGUCCUAGGGGGUAUUGCACCUACCGAAGACUAUCAAACUCCGAAUGCCGUCAUCUUAUACUUGGGAGUCAGACUGUGGGUGAUAAGAUUCAUAGUCGAAAGGGCAACAGCCCAGAUCGUCAGCUAAGGUCCCUAAAUGUAAGUUAAGUGGUAAAGGAUGUGGGAUUGCACAGACAACCAGGAUGUUGGCUUAGAAGCAGCCACUCAUUCAAAGAGUGCGUAAUAGCUCACUGGUCGAGUGAUCCUGCGCCGAAGAUUUCCGGGGCUAAAACUUACUACCGAAGCUACGGCAUCAGUAAUGAUGGGUAGGGGAGCUUCCCAUACGGGUUGAAGCAUGACCGUAAGGACAUGUGGACAGUAUGGGAGUGAGAAUGUUGGCAU
rnacentral:rRNA from 1 species